rnacentral:misc_RNA from 1 species
GAUGAAGAACGUAGCGAAAUGCGAUACUUGGUGUGAAUUGCAGAAUCCCGUGAACCAUCGAGUCUUUGAACGCAAGUUGCGCCCGAAGCCAUUAGGCCGAGGGCACGCCUGCCUGGGCGUCACACGUCGUUGCCCCCCCAUCUACUCCUUCGGGAUUGCGGGGGGCGGAUGAUGGCCUCUCGUGCGCCUCGUCGCGCGGUUGGCCUAAAUGCCAAGUCCUCGGCGACGCACGCCACGACAAUCGGUGGUUGCGAAACCUCGGUUGCCUGUCGUGUGCGGUCGUCGCGCAUCGAGGGCUCGAAAAAAUUGCCGGGCUUCGGCUCGACUUUCAAAGCGACCCCAGGUCAGGCGGGGUUACCCGCUGAAUUUAAGCAUAUCAAUAAGCGGAGGA